AUUGAACGCUGGCGGCAGGCCUAACACAUGCAAGUCGAGCGGAUGAAGGGAGCUUGCUCCUGGAUUCAGCGGCGGACGGGUGAGUAAUGCCUAGGAAUCUGCCUUGUAGUGGGGGAUAACGUCCGGAAACGGGCGCUAAUACCGCAUACGUCCUGAGGUAGAAAGUGGGGGAUCUUCGGACCUCACGCUAUCAGAUGAGCCUAGGUCGGAUUAGCUAGUUGGUGGGGUAAAGGCCUACCAAGGCGACGAUCCGUAACUGGUCUGGGAGGAUGAUCAGUCACACUGGAACUGAGACACGGUCCAGACUCCUACGGGAGGCAGCAGUGGGGAAUAUUGGACAAUGGGCGAAAGCCUGAUCCAGCCAUGCCGCGUGUGUGAAGAAGGUCUUCGGAUUGUAAAGCACUUUAAGUUGGGAGGAAGGGCAGUAAGUUAAUACCUUGCUGUUUUGACGUUACCAACAGAAUAAGCACCGGCUAACUUCGUG
rnacentral:rRNA from 1 species